rnacentral:tRNA from 1 species
AACUUGGUAGCCUAGUUGGUACAGGCAUCACUUCUAUUGGCUAAGGUCGCUGGUUCGAAAGCCGCCCAAGUUG